ensembl:lncRNA
CAGUAAAGACUCUGCCUUCAAUGCAGGACACCUGGGUUUGGGCCCUGGGUUGGGAAGAUCCCCUGGAGAAGGAAAUGGCAACUGACUCCUGUAUUCUUGUCUGGAGAAUUCCAUGGACAGAGCAGCCUGGAUAUCAGGACAUACAACGAAACAAGAGGGAUACAAGUGCACAGAGGGGAUGCAUGUGAGGAGACGGUGAGAAGACAGCCACUGGAAAACCAAGGAGAGAAGCUUCAAGAGGAACCAGACCUGUCCACACUUGAUCUGGGACUUCUAGCCUCCAGAAGCAUGAGAAAGCAAAUCUCUGUUAAAUCACCCAGUCUGUUAUAUUUUGAUAUGGCAGCCCUAGCCAAUCAAUACGUUCCCCUCUCCUUUCUUGUUCUUUUAAAAUUAAAUCUACAGUCUUACCACUGGGGAAUAUCAUGACAAAGCAUUUGAUAUCGGGAGUUGAUGAGUUGUUAUUUAAAGGACCCUCUAAUGUGCCAUUCCCUGGAAGUUGUUGAUUACAGUUAAAUUCACUUAGGGGAACAUUGAACGUGGGAUCAUGUUUGUGGCCUUCAUUCUAGCAAAGCUCUCCUAAGGGAGCUGUGAGACUUAAGCCCUGACUAAGGGCCUCCUUGGUGGCUCAGAUGGUAAAGAAUCUGCCUGCAAUGCAGGAGACCCGGGUUUGAUCCCUGGGUUGGGAAGAUCCCCUGGAGAAGGGAAUGGCUACCCACUCCAGUAUUCUUGCCUGGGGAAUUCCAUACACAGAGGAGCCUGAUGGACUAUAGUGCAUGGGGCUGCAAGAAGGCAUACACAUCUGAGAGACUAACACAGUAAGAGUUGUACCACCCAGAGCCCUGCAGUGGGGCCCUGGGAUGGUCUAAUAAUUGCUAACAUGACUCCUUCAAUAAUUAAUGAUUCAGUUGUUUUAAAUGCCUUAAUACAUAAAAGCUCACAUGUGGUGUCAGAUCUCCAAAUUAUAACACAAAAUAGAUGUUUUGCAGUAACUUAUAUGGAAUUAAUUCCAUCCUAGAGUUCUUGUAGAAAUUAGAAGUCAUUUAAAGACUGAGCUCUGAUGGUUAUGUGUCACUAGACUCCCUCUGUGGAACCAUUUCCUUGUAAAUUUUUGUAAUCCAUUUGUAUUCUGUACACAUGUGGUCUCUUGACGGCUUUGGUGGUUCUUAAUUGCACUUCUCAUAGGCAAUCCCAAUGGUAGGUUCCUUUCAACUAAACUAGUAGUGAUGUGCCAUCAAGCACAAAAACAAAAACAAACAAACAGAAAAAAAAACUGGUUGAUUUAAUUAUUAAUGGUAAAUGUCCUUCUAGCUUCUUCCAAGAAAGCGAAAGCACAUCACUUGACUAAUAAGCCUUUUCAGUAAUGAAAUAUAAUUUUACUUGGUCAAGUUAUUCUCCUAAAGUUUUAGUUCUUAUUUAUGGAUUCUUAAUCUCAGGUGCUUGGGAUUGGCUUUAUCACCCUCUUCAUUUUCUGGAGUUCUACUAUUGAUCUCCCAAAGAACUUGUGCCUUUUAAGGGUUUUUGUUUUAAUUAUUCUCCAUAUUUCUCACUCGUGUCCCUCUUCACUUUUUGAAAAUGUUCCAAAGUAAUUUUUUUAAAAAAAUCUAUUUCCCAGAUUUAUUGAGAUGUAAUUGACAUACAAUUGUAUAAUUUUAAUAUAUACAAUGUAAAGAUUUUAUAUAUGUAUAUAUUGCAAAAUGAUUACCACAAUAAAGUAGUUAACACAUCCAUCACCUCA